rnacentral:lncRNA from 1 species
CACGAAUUGUCGUGGUCAUGGUGUUGAAAGGUUCAGGCUUUGACGCUGAUGGCUCUACCUCCUUAAGAGACAGACCCACCCCCUGACACAGUCGGGGCAGGCACAGGAAAACUUGCUAAGUCAUCGCAGGACACCCGCCAUGCAUUACACCUGCUGAAGACUCUGGGCAUGCGUAGAACCUCAGUGCACAGGUGAGGUAAACACCAUGCUAAGCUAUGAUCUCCUGCAGCUGAUGGUUCCUGAUUCAUCUUACCAUCGUGAAAUUUCAUUACAGUCUUACUGUACUGCCUUAGCUGACCUUGAACAUCUGGCUCCCAAGAUCUUGCUUCAGCUUCCCAAGUCUAUGGUCCCUAGCUGGCCUGAAAUCCUCAGAAAUCUACCUGCCUCAGCCUCCUGAGUGCUGGGAUUAAAGGCGUGGGGGUGGACUUUGAGGUCUCCUAUGCUCAAGCUACUCUCAGCGAGACAGACCACUUCCUGUUGUCUGACUAUCAAGAUAAAGGGCUCUCAGCCCCAGCACCAUAUCAGCCUGCAUGUCACCAUGUGACACCAUGUGAUAAUGGACUAAACCUCUGAAAAUGUAAGCUACCCCAAUUAAAUGGUAUUUCUUCAUAA